rnacentral:rRNA from 1 species
GUAGUCAUAUGCUUGUCUCAAAGAUUAAGCCAUGCAUGUCUAAGUAUGAACACGCUUUGUACGGUGAAACUGCGAAUGGCUCAUUAUAUCAGUGAUCAUUUAUUUGAUGAUGCCUUACUACGUGGAUAACCGUGGUAAUUCUAGAGCUAAUACAUGCACACGACUCCCGACUCGUGAGGGAAGGGAGAUAUUUAUUAGGUAAGAACCAGCCCUGGCAACAGGAGCUCUGGUGAUUCAUGAUAACUGCACGAAUCGCACGGCCUUGCGCUGGCGAUGGACCAUUCAAAUUUCUGCCCUAUCAACUUUUGAUGGUAGGAUAGAGGCCUACCAUGGUCGCAACGGGUAACGGGGAAU